AGCAGCCGCGGUAAUUCCAGCUCCAAUAGCGUAUAUUAAAGUUGUUGCAGUUAAAAAGCUCGUAGUUGAAUUUCGGGAUUGGCGCAUCGGUCGUGCCUUACGGGGUAUGAACUGGUGCAGUCAAUUUCUCACCUUCUGGAGAACCGCGAUGUCCUUAAUUGGGUGCCGCGGGGAACCAGGACCUUUACUUUGAAAAAUUAGAGUGUUUAAAGCAGGCAUUUUUGCUUGAAUACAUUAGCAUGGAAUAAUAAAAUAGGACGGCAUGGUUCUAUUUUGUUGGUUUCUAGGACCACGUAAUGAUUAAUAGGGAUAGUUGGGGGCAUUAGUAUUCAAUUGUCAGAGGUGAAAUUCUUGGAUUUAUUGAAGACUAACUACUGCGAAAGCAUUUGCCAAGGAUGUUUUCAUUAAUCAAGAACGAAAGUUAGGGGAUCGAAGACGAUCAGAUACCGUCGUAGUCUUAACAUAAACUAUGCCGACUAGGAAUCAGACGAUGUUAAUUUUUAAUGUACUCGUUUGGCUA
rnacentral:rRNA from 1 species